rnacentral:rRNA from 1 species
CAAUAGCGUAUAUUAAAGUUGUUGCAGUUAAAAAGCUCGUAGUUGGAUUUCUGCUGAGGACGAUCGGUCCGCCCACUGGGUGAGUAUCUGGCUCGGCCUUGGCAUCUUCUUGGAGAACGUUGCUGCACUUGACUGUGUGGCGCGGUAUCCAGGACUUUUACUUUGAGGAAAUUAGAGUGUUUCAAGCAGGCGCACGCCUUGAAUACAUUAGCAUGGAAUAAUGAGAUAGGACCUUGGUUCUAUUUUGUUGGUUUCUAGAGCUGAGGUAAUGAUUAAUAGGGAUAGUUGGGGGCAUUCGUAUUUAACUGUCAGAGGUGAAGUUCUUGGAUUUGUUAAAGACGGACUACUGCGAAAGCAUUUGCCAAGGAUGUUUUCAUUGA